rnacentral:snoRNA from 1 species
CUUAAAAUGAUGAACAACUUUUGAGCGAUGGGCGGACUGAAAAAAGUGAGAGAACUUUUAUUUGUAGAAAAUCGCAUAAUCUGAUAAGAAUUAAAUAUUUUUUUUU